GUGAGGAAUUUUCCGCAAUGGGCGAAAGCCUGACGGAGCAAUGCCGCGUGAAGGAUGAAGGCCUAUGGGUUGUAAACUUCUUUUCUCAGAAAAGAAUUAUGACGGUAUCUGAGGAAUAAGCAUCGGCUAACUCUGUGUCAGCAGCCGCGGUAAGACAGAGGAUGCAAGCGUUAUCCGGAAUGAUUGGGCGUAAAGCGUCUGUAGGUUGUUUAAAAAGUAUUCUGUCAAAGAUUAGGGCUUAACCCUAGAUAGGCAGAAUAAACUUUUAAGCUAGAGUUUGGUAGAGGCAGAGGGAAUUCCCGGUGGAGCGGUGAAAUGCGUAGAUAUCGGGAGGAACACCAAAGGCGAAGGCACUCUGCUGGGCCAAUACUAACACUGAGAGACGAAAGCGAGGGGAGCAAAUGGGAUUAGAUACCCGGGUAGUCC
rnacentral:rRNA from 1 species